AUCGUGUCAUCCUGAUAAGGAGGAGCAGCACUGAAGACAGAGAGGGUGAUAAAAGAAGAAUUUGCUAAAUUGUACCGGUUCCUUAAAGAGGAGGAAGAAGUCAGAAUGAUUGCCCUGAAGGUGGAAGAAGAGAAAAAAACAGAAAAAUUGCAAGAAUGGAUAGACCAAGAGAUUAUUUCUCUUUCCAACAGAGUAGCAGAGGUGCAAGAAAAGAUGGAGAUUGAUAGUGUCACGUUCCUGCAGAGCAAAGUACACAGUUCCAAAUCCAGCGGUGGAUGCAGGAGCUCUGAUUGGUGUGUCCAACACUUGGGGAAUCUGAGAUACAGAGUGUGGGAGAAGAUAAGGGACAUCUGUCCUUACUUUCCCAUGGUGCUGGAUCCAAACACUGCUCCUGCAGACUUCUCUGUAGCAGAUGAUUUGGCGUGUGUCAGGAAGUGUGCCCAAGACUGGCCCAACCCUGUUUCCCAUUGUGGGAACCGCUUGGUGCUGGGAUCUGAUGGCUAUGUUGACGUUCAUUGCUGGGAUGUGGAGGUGGCAGAGAGCCAGCACUGGACCCUUGGCGUGUGUCAGCGCUCAGAUGCAACAGUCAGUCAAAGGAUGUUGACCCCUGAAAAUGGCUUUUGGGGUCUCAGCCGUGAUGGGAAUUCGUUGUUGGGCUCCAGUGAGACCCUAACCAUGUUUAGUAAGCCCAGAGCAGUGCAAGUGCAGUUGGGAUGGAGUUUAAGUUUCAAGUUUGGUUUAUUUGUCACAUACAUAGUCAUACACAGUAUAAGUCAUACACAGCAGUGAAAUGGUUUAUUUGACAGGGCAGUGAGCUUCUUGAAUGUCAGCAAUGGAUUCACAAUAGCAAGAAGUCCUGUGCCAGCAGGCAUAGAGCUGGUUCCAUUCUUUAUCCCAGGGGAUCAUCCCCCCGACCUGUGCAUUCAGCAUGAUCAUGAAAAUAAUCCUGGGAAAAUGCAGCAAAUUCCAAUAGUCCUGUACCUCAUCCUCAUAUUUGGUUUGGGGCUAGUGAUAAUCGCUCUGUUAUUUUUAUCUGUAAUUUAAAGAUGGCUUUAUGGUGCUUUAAGGUUUUGGGGAAACCAGCUCAGCAUUGUGACUUACAGAAACUGUACUCACUCCUCUGUUCUAAGGUCUUUUGUAACAAUAUAAAAAUCAGCAGCUGUAUAGGAUACUGGCAAAGCUUUCCUUAGCCUACUCAUGAUCUCAGUGGAUUAGGUCCUUUGUCAUGUCCAGUACAUUCCUCUGCAGGGGUAUUACUAGCUCUACAUGCUAAAUGAAAUUCGCUUAUUAAACUGGGUACAGCUUCGUUCAGGUGUCUCCAGCUCUGUGUGACCUGACAUUUUUAAAUGUCAGGGUACAGGACCGUGUAAGCACUGGCAGUGGGCGAAGUGUGGAGAAGAUGAACCAGCUUUUUCUCUUAAAGAUUACUGACACAGUGAAGAAUCAAAAAUGACUUAAGAGUUAGGUAGAAGGUUGAGUCAGGUGUUGGAGUGAAAUGUGCAGUUUCUCCAUGACCAGGACAGAGAAACACUGGCAAUUCAGGAUGAGUAAUGUAAUUAUAUUUUUUAUUUUUCAGAAUUAUGACAUUGUGUCAAAACAUCUAAACAUGCACAGUACUUUGCUUACAACAAAGGAGCUCCUGAGUGUGGCUGUUAUUAAUGUUUUAGAGCCGAGUACACAAUGCCAGAUCCAGAGGUGGGUCCUGGAGUUCUGACUGAUGUGUCCAAACACCUGGGGAAUUUGAGAUACAACACUGGUAGGCCAGCUCUGCGCAUACCUGUCCAGUAUGUCGGCAGGCAAGCCCGCAG